UACAUAACCCCCCAUCCAGCUCUGUAUGGACCCCUCCACAGCCAUUAACACUUCCCAAAGAGUCUGGCUGGCUUGGAUGAUGGAAAGGCUGGUGGUGGCUGUAACAGAUUUAGGAGGGAAGACUGAUAAAGGUAGAUGUGAGGAUAAAGGCUCCAGAGAGUCCAGGACAGCAGUAGAUGUGGCUGCUGGUCACUGGAAGGAGUUGUGGACAUAGAACAGGUGUCAAGAAAAAGGGAUAUGACUGACAUCAUAAAGCCACGGACCUGGGGCAGAAAAGGCCUGAGGAGUGGCCUGGGGCAGGUGUGCAAUAACAAUGUCCCCAUGACCUCAGACAAGUCCCCUGCCCAGGGACUCAUAGGCCUGCAGCAUCCUGUCCUGGGACCUUAACUUCUGAAUCCUGGUCUGUCUGAGGAACCCCACCAACUUCUACCAUAACCACUGGAACCACAGUAGGGUUCCUGCACAGGGCGUGGCCCUCUGAAGCUGUCACCUCACAAUGUCACCACACUGCCAGAGCUGCUUCAGUACACAGUCUCUGGGGCCCUCCUUCCUUCCCCCUCUUCCUUCCUUCUCACUUCACACAUGGAGAAGGAAGGCACUCUACUACUGAGGUGUACCCCUCUGCAGCCCUGCUGAGACAGUGGCAGGGAACCAGUCUCUGGGGACUCACCAGAGCACGUGGCUGUCUUGGGCCUCCUUUCCCCGCCUCCUAAGGGCUGGAAUCACAGGCACGCCUGCUGCUUUAACCUUGGUUUCCAAAUCCACGUUGCAUCUGAAGCGGAUGCUUACCCUGCAGACUGUGGGUUUUGGAGGAUCAGGAUGAAGGGGACACUCCACGAGCCACCUUGGACCAUGAGGUGGUGGAGGAAGCUGGGUGCUGAGGGUGGCAGGACUGGAUCUCUGACCCCCACUGCUGUGCCAGCUCUGUAAGCCCCCCACUCUAUAGACUUCUCCACAGGAAGAAAGAGAUUGCCUCCUGAAGCUGCUCUUGCCUUGUUCACCCUCACAGCCCAGACAAAUCCUGUUAGAGAUCCCUAGCAAUGUGUAGCAAUCAGGUUAUAGGUCUCUCCUCUGUGGCUGAU